rnacentral:tRNA from 1 species
GCACCCGUAGCUCAACUGGAUAGAGCACCGGUCUUCGGAACCGGGGGUUGGGGGUUCGAAUCCCUCCGGG